CUUACGUGCUUUCUCUUUCCCUCUGGCAAUAAUUCCGAUAGAAUGAAAGCUCCAUGAAAGUAAGGACUUCGCUCCUUUUGUUCGUUGUCUUCAGUACUAAAGUUGUACAUGGCAUACAAAUAAUUGUUGGAAAAAAAUCAAUGAAGGAAGGAAUAUUAUUAUGGACCUUUGACAGUUGAUAAAACCAAGCCUGAGAUAGGUUAAGGAACUUUCUUACAGAGCUUGUAAAAGGCAGAAUUGGAGUUUAAUUUCAUCUGACACCAAUGGUAACAUGUAUUCGAGUAAGUGAGGAAACUGUUCUGGGGUCCCAGGAAAAGGUGGUGAUUGUGAUUGAGGAACCCAGAGGAAAACGUGGCGUUUGGACCUGGGCCUUGGGAGAUGAACUUCCACAUUUGAUUUCGUUGUUGGCAAAGCAAUAUUAGGCCAAGCCCCUAUUCAAUGAAAAAAAGAAGAAGCCCUUGUUUCCAAUAGUCUUCCUUACAGCUGAUAUUGAACUUCUGGGCUCAAGUGAUUCUCCUGCCUUGGCCUCCUGAGCAGCUGGGACGACAGGCCCCCUCCCAAACAUUUUGAGUGAUCCUGUUUGAGCUCUAGAAGAACAGCUUUCAAAAGCAGACCUUUUUUUCCUGCUUGGUUUUGGCAGUGCCUAAAUCUCAGCGGUGCGUUGUUAGCCUUUGGUUAUGGGAGGCCAAGGCUCUCACGGUGCCUGGUUUCUGGAUUUUGUGACUGAGAGCAUCAUGUGACCUUCUGGAGCCAAUAGCAGGGCCCAUGAUACAGUGCCCUGUCCAAGUGAUGGAGGAAACCAUUCCUUCCACUCCCUCCUCUCUCUCCACUUGAAUGUAAUCCGAGUUGUGAUCCCCCGUUUAAGAAACAGACUGUGACUUCAACAACAAUGAACUUACUUCCUACGCAUCCCUCCAUCCCACCUCUCGGGUGAUUUAAAAGAGGAAACAAGAUUUCCUCCUCCCAGGCCCGACUGGACAGAGCCACCUCCAGCGUGGGGCAGCCCAGCGCCGGCUCUGCGGCUUCAGGAAGUCCCUCAUCCUCCUCACCCCAUUCGCAUCCUGGACCUGGAGGAUGAGCAGGAAGUGAAAAGUGUCCGGCAGAGUCUUUCAAGCUCACAGUCGGCUCCGGGGCAGUCCGCGUGGGCUUUUAGGAAAACAAUACAGAACUUUCCAAAGUGCUCUGUUAAUGGCUGUCUGCAAACACUUUACAGGGCUGUGUUUGAAACUGCCAGUCACCAAGGCUCGGGGUUAUUUAUUUAUUUAUUUUCUUUCCAUUUUGCUGGGAAGAAAAACAGUCAAGAUUGAGGGCUGUUCUCAGUCACUCUCUUCCUGGUUGUUUGGAAUACCUUUGACAGCAGAUGGGUGGGGCCACUCCCAGGCCUCUUCUCCCAGGGCAGCCCUCUGCUCAGGGUCAGGAAGACUGAUGUGCCCAAAUUGAUGCUUUAAAUGUGGGAAGCCCCCCCUCCCCCAGUACACACACCAGGGGCCAGCUGCCAGCUGUUCUGAGCCUUUGGGCAGGCCACUCUGCUGUUUCAGCGUCCUCCUUUGUAAACUGAAGGGACUGGAAGGUCCGCAGUCAGUGAGCCCCUUGUAGGGACACUCCACAGUCUCCUGGGGCAGUAACCUCAGGUGCACCUUAAACCUUCUCCAGAGAGUGCUUCUCAACAUCUUCCACUCUGCCCUGCCUAAUGUGGAGGCUUCUUGCUCCUGGGACUGACCUCCUGAAAUGCUCUUCAGCAAAUCCCCGCUGACCUAGAGCAAGGCAUGGUCUGACAAAAAGCUUUUAUGAAGCCAUCUUCCAGAGUCUUCAUCAGUGUGAUUUUUUUUUUUGCACCAGAAUGUCUAUUGUGGCUCAAUUUACAAUUGCUAAGUCGUAGAAUCAACCUAAAGUGCCCAUCAACCCAUGAAUGGACCAACCAACUGUGGUAUAUGCAUACCAUGGAAUAUCAUUCAGCCAUUAAAAAAGAUGGUGACUUCACAUCCUUUACAUUCACCUGGAUGGAGUUGAAAUACAUCUUUCCAAAUAGAGCAUCGCAAGAUAGAAAAAUAAAUAUCCAAUGUACUCUAUACUAACAUGAAAAUAAUAUACAAAUAAUUACAUACUUAUAUGAACAAUAAAAUACAAAUAUAGUCUAGUACAGGGGUAGAGAGAGGUGGGAGGGGGAGGACGACUGACGAAGGAGGGGGAGGAAUGAGGUGGGAUCUCCCCUAAUGUGCACAUUGUGGGGGUAUGUAAGACGCCCCCUGGGUGAGGGGUGCUUUUACAAAUGGAACUUUACCCUGGAAGUGAGAACAACGUAACCUAAAAAUUUGUAUCCUCAUAUUAAUUUGAAAUAAAAAAUAA